rnacentral:rRNA from 1 species
AUUGAACGCUGGCGGCAGGCUUAACACAUGCAAGUCGAGCGGGGAAAGGUAGCUUGCUACCUGACCUAGCGGCGGACGGGUGAGUAAUGCUUAGGAAUCUGCCUAUUAGUGGGGGACAACAUCUCGAAAGGGAUGCUAAUACCGCAUACGUCCUACGGGAGAAAGCAGGGGACCUUCGGGCCUUGCGCUAAUAGAUGAGCCUAAGUCGGAUUAGCUAGUUGGUGGGGUAAAGGCCUACCAAGGCGACGAUCUGUAGCGGGUCUGAGAGGAUGAUCCGCCACACUGGGACUGGAACACGGCCCAGACUCCUACGGGAGGCAGCAGUGGGGAAUAUUGGACAAUGGGGGGAACCCUGAUCCAGCCAUGCCGCGUGUGUGAAGAAGGCCUUUUGGUUGUAAAGCACUUUAAGCGAGGAGGAGGCUACCGAGAUUAAUACUCUUGGAUAGUGGACGUUACUCGCAGAAUAAGCACCGGCUAACUCUGUGCCAGCCGCCGCAGUAAUAC